rnacentral:rRNA from 1 species
CCUACGGGUGGCAGCAGUGAGGAAUAUUGGUCAAUGGGCGCGAGCCUGAACCAGCCAAGUAGCGUGAAGGAUGACUGCCCUACGGGUUGUAAACUUCUUUUAUAAAGGAAUAAAGUGAGGCACGUGUGCCCUUUUGUAUGUACUUUAUGAAUAAGGAUAGGCUAACGCCGUGCCAGCAGCCGCGGUAAUACGGAGGAUCCGAGCGUUAUCCGGAUUUAUUGGGUUUAAAGGGAGCGUAGAUGGGUUGUUAAGUCAGUUGUGAAAGUUUGCGGCUCAACCGUAAAAGUGCAAUUGAUACUGGCAGGCUUGAGUACAGUUGAGGUAGGCGGAAUUCGUGGUGUAGCGGUGAAAUGCUUAGAUAUCACGAAGAACUCCGAUGGCGAAGGCAGCUUACUAAACUGCCACUGACAUUGAUGCUCGAAAGUGUGGGGAGCAAACAGGAUUAGAUACCCGAGUAGUC